rnacentral:rRNA from 1 species
GGGCCCGCACAAGCGGUGGAGUAUGUGGUUUAAUUCGAUGCAACGCGAAGAACCUUACCAGGGUUUGACAUCCUGCGAAUCUCUUGGAAACAGGAGAGUGCCUUCGGGAAUGCAGUGACAGGUGGUGCAUGGCUGUCGUCAGCUCGUGUCGUGAGAUGUUGGGUUAAGUCCCGCAACGAGCGCAACCCACGUUUUUAGUUGCCAGCAUUUAGUUGGGCACUCUAGAAAGACCGCCGGUGAUAAACCGGAGGAAGGUGUGGAUGACGUCAAGUCAUCAUGCCCCUUACACCCUGGGCUACACACGUACUACAAUGCUACGGACAAAGGGCAGCAAACUCGCGAGAGCUAGCAAAUCCCAUAAACCGUGGCUCAGUUCAGAUCGUAGGCUGCAACUCGCCUACGUGAAGGCGGAAUCGCUAGUAAUCG